rnacentral:pre_miRNA from 11 species
GCAUUAAUGCUAAUCGUGAUGGGAGUUUUUGUCUCUGGCUGACUCCUACAUGUUGGCAUUGAAAA